rnacentral:rRNA from 1 species
GACGAACGCUGGCGGCGUGCUUAACACAUGCAAGUCGAACGGAAAGGCCCUGCUUUUGUGGGGUGCUCGAGUGGCGAACGGGUGAGUAACACGUGAGUAACCUGCCCUGGACUUUGGGAUAACUUCAGGAAACUGGGGCUAAUACCGGAUAGGAGCUCCUGCUGCAUGGUGGGGGUUGGAAAGUUUCGGCGGUUGGGGAUGGACUCGCGGCUUAUCAGCUUGUUGGUGGGGUAGUGGCUUACCAAGGCUUUGACGGGUAGCCGGCCUGAGAGGGUGACCGGCCACCUUGGGACUGAGAUACGGCCCAGACUCCUACGGGAGGCAGCAGUGGGGAAUAUUGCACAAUGGGCGGAAGCCUGAUGCAGCAACGCCGCGUGCGGGAUGACGGCCUUCGGGUUGUAAACCGCUUUCGCCUGUGACGAAGCGUGAGUGACGGUAAUGGGUAAAGAAGCACCGGCUAACUACGUG